CGCUCAUCCAGAGGGGCAGAGGGAAACGGCCCGUUGAAGCCCCGGCAACCCGGCCUUCCGAGAUCUUCGGAGCCGACAGGUGCCACGUCCGUCCCGCCUCGCGGGAAAGAUGAGAA
rnacentral:ncRNA from 2 species